UUCUGUGGCCAGUACACAGACAGCUUUUUACAGGAAAUGACUGAGUAGAGCUUAGUUCCUCCUGUUGGAGGCAUGAGCAAAGCUGAAGCUCCUUGUAGAGCAACAGACAAGUGUCAAACCAAGGUAUGGCUUUGUGCAACUAAUUGAAAGUAUUGACCAGGAAGAUGGCUGAAGGAGUGAUCCCAGAUCUGCCACCUCAAUCCCCUGCAUCAAUCAAGGUUUAUGGAACCGUGGAAUCAACAGAGCAAUCUCAAGGAUCAUCACAGCCACCUACCAGAAGGGCUUACAUCGCAAUUGUUACACUUUGCCAUCUGAACCUGGUGAAUUAUAUGGACUGGUUUCUCGUAGCAGGAGUGCUUCUGGACAUACAGAAAUACUUUAAUUUUAAAGACCAGACUGCGGGCCUGUUACACACUGUUUUCAUUAUCUGUUUCUUGUUCUCGGCUCCUGUUUUUGGAUACCUUGGGGACCGAUACAAUCAGAAAAUCAUCCUCAGCAUUGGAAUAUCCCUCUGGUCAACUGUUACCUUUUGUAGCUCCUUCAUCCCUGCAUCG